rnacentral:rRNA from 1 species
UACGAAGGGGGCUAGCGUUGCUCGGAAUUACUGGGCGUAAAGGGCGCGUAGGCGGACAUUUAAGUCAGGGGUGAAAUCCCGAGGCUCAACCUCGGAACUGCCUUUGAUACUGGGUGUCUUGAGUGUGAGAGAGGUAUGUGGAACUCCGAGUGUAGAGGUGAAAUUCGUAGAUAUUCGGAAGAACACCAGUGGCGAAGGCGACAUACUGGCUCAUUACUGACGCUGAGGCGCGAAAGCGUGGGGAUCAAACAGG